UACAGAGGGGGCAAGCGUUGUUCGGAAUUACUGGGCGUAAAGGGCGCGUAGGCGGCCUGCUAAGUCGAACGUGAAAUCCCUGGGCUCAACCCAGGAACUGCGUCCGAUACUGGUUGGCUUGAAUCCGGGAGAGGGACGUGGAAUUCCAGGUGUAGCGGUGAAAUGCGUAGAUAUCUGGAAGAACACCGGUGGCGAAGGCGACGUCCUGGACCGGCAUUGACGCUGAGGCGCGAAAGCCAGGGGAGCAAACGGG
rnacentral:rRNA from 1 species